GUUUGAUCCUGGCUCAGGGUGAACGCUGGCGGCGUGCCUAACACAUGCAAGUCGAGCGGUGCAGCUGGAGGCUUCGGCCGAAGGCUGCAUAGCGGCGGACGGGUGCGUAACGCGUGGGAACGUGCCCCCUGGAGGCGGAUAGCCGCGGGAAACUGCGGGUAAACCGCCAUAGACUCGGGAGAGUAAAGGCCGGAAGGCGCCAGGGGAGCGGCCUGCGUCCCAUCAGGUAGUUGGUAGGGUAACGGCCUACCAAGCCUACGACGGGUAGCCGGUCUGAGAGGAUGGCCGGCCACAAGGGCACUGAGACACGGGCCCUACUCCUACGGGAGGCAGCAGUGGGGGAUAUUGGACAAUGGGCGAAAGCCUGAUCCAGCGACGCCGCGUGGAGGACGAAGCCCUUCGGGGUGUAAACUCCUUUUGUCGGGGAAAAAGAGCUGAUGGUACCCGACGAAUAAGCCCCGGCUAACUACGUGCCAGCAGCCGCGGUAAUACGUAGGGGGCGAGCGUUACCCGGAAUCACUGGGCGUAAAGGGUGCGUAGGCGGCCGCGUGUGUCUGGCGUAAAAUUCCACGGCUCAACCGUGGGUAUGCGCUGGAAACUACGCGGCUUGGGUGCGGCAGAGGCAGACGGAACUGCUGGUGUAGGGGUGAAAUCCGUAGAUAUCAGCANGAACGCCGGUGGAGAAGUCGGUCUGCUGGGCCGUAACCGACGCUGAGGCACGAAAGCUAGGGGAGCGAACCGGAUUAGAUACCCGGGUAGUCCUAGCCGUAAACGAUGCUCACUAGUGUGGGGGCGGAAGCCUCCGUGCUGAAGCGAACGCGAUAGUGAGCCGCCUGGGG
rnacentral:rRNA from 1 species